AGUGAACGCUGGCGGUAUGCCUAACACAUGCAAGUCGAACGGCAGCACAGUAAGCGCUUGCUCUUACGGGUGGCGAGUGGCGGACGGGUGAGGCAUACAUCGGAAUCUACUUUUUCGUGGGGGAUAACGUAGGGAAACUUACGCUAAUACCGCAUACGACCUACGGCUGAAAUCAGUGGAUCUUCGGACCUUGCGCGAUUGAAUGAGCCGAUGUCGGAUUAGCUAGUUGGCGGGGUAAAGGCCCUCCAAGGCGACGAUCCGUAGCUGGUCUGAGAGGAUGAUCAGCCACACUGGAACUGAGACACGGUCCAGACUCCUACCGGAGGCAGCAGGGGGGAAUAUUGCACAAUGGGCGCAAGCCUGAUCCAGCCGUACCGCGUGGGUGAAGAAGGCUUUCGGGUUGUAAAGCCCUUUUGUUGGGAAAGAAAAGAAGCAGGAUAAUACCCCGCUGUUCUGACGGUACCCAAAGAAUAAGCCCCGGCUAACUUCCUG
rnacentral:rRNA from 1 species